UUCAGAAUGGCCGAGUGGUUAUGGCAUCGGAUUCUGCUUCCGAUUGUCUGUAGGUUCGAUUCCUACUCCUUUUCCACGUGAAU